UACAACAGGUUGUGUGACUCACAGACUGGGAAGGGUUUUAAAAUCUAAAGCAGAAGAUUAGGUGUAUUUGCAAGGUAGAAUGCAAUAAAAGAAUACAUUUCUCCGUGCACCAGAGGAAGGGGCUCAAAACACCCUCUCCUGAGGAAUUCUACUGCAUAUCAGUGAAGUAAAGAAUGACCAGGCAAUACUCUUUGAAAAUUGGAGACCAUUUGCAGCUGCUCUCUGCUGAGGAAAGUGAAUAAUAGGGUGCCCUCAAGGAAUUUCAAAGGUAUCACUCAACAGAAACUUUUGUGUCUGAAGAAAACUAGAUCAUUUUAUCAUGGAGCCAGCAGCCAGCUGUCCCAUGUCGUGCCGCCUACUGCAUCCUGGACUAGGCCAGUGACUUCCACGUGGCCGAAGAGGAGGAGGCCAUCAAUGACACCACAGACUCCAGGGUGCUCUGACACCAUCUCCAAAUUGUCAAGCAGCAGUCCUGGGCCUGCACCACCGGCAGCAACUUGUGGGCUCAGAUCAUUCUGGGCACUUGGCAUAAUGAACAGUGGGUCUGGAACUUUCACAUGUACCCAACCACCUUCAUGAACUUCAUUUCUCAGCAGACCCCGGCAUCAAGUAAACCCUCACUCCAGAGAAGUAGGUUGCCAUUGCCAUCUGGAAGCUGGCCACCCCUUACAACAUCCACUCCGUUGGCAACCACAUUAGUAUUGUCAAAUC